ensembl:lncRNA TTN-AS1 TTN antisense RNA 1
UGAGAAAGAUAACAUGUGAACGCUUUCGACUAUUAAACGUAGCCAAGCUACAUCAUGUUAUUAUGCAUUUAUUAGAAAAUAUUGGUUACAUAACCUUGGAAGUAAGCUACAGUAACUUUAUAGCAGAGAAAACUAAGUGGCUUAGAGUUCUCAUAGCUUUUUGUUGUUGUUGUGCGUGCAAAUUAGAUUGGAGAGUAGAGGAUUGAGAAUGGCAUAAAAUCAUAAGACAUGCAUUCCUUGCCAAAAAUAGUAACAUAGGACUCAGUGUAGUGCAAAACAUGUUUUGUUUUGUUUUUUGAUAGAGUAGGCACUGCAUACUUAGUUCAAUAAAUCAGAGAAACUUUUUUCUUAUGAAUGAGAGGUACACUAAUGGCUUUUUCAUAAGGACAGUGUAUAAGGAUGUCCUGGGUCAGGAUGAGAACAUACCUAAAAGGCACACAGGGGUUUGUAAAGUAGGAGAGUAUAAGACCGUCUUUAGAUUUGCCAAGACUCUCAGGGUGAUAGCUUAGUUGUAGCCUAAGUUCAUAAAUAGUCAUCAUGUACUAGCAACUGUCCAAGGCUCUGGCAUGUAAAGAUUAUUGCUAUUAAUUUCCUCUUACUCAAGACACUUACUUUGUAGUGAGCAAAAUUAGAGUUGUUAACAUGUGGGUAGGGCUUGCUAGAAAUGAAAGACCCUCACAAGGAUUACCUCAUUAAAUAACUGUGAAAUCUGAAAUCUAAACUCUGUGAUAUUGGAAGGAUAUUUUAAAAUAAAGGGACUGACCUGCCAGUUCAAGCUUAGCUCUGGCUUCUUUGUCUUUGGCAAUAAAUCUGUAUUCACCCUGGUCACGGGGCUUAAUAUCACAAAUCUGUAGUCGAUGUAUCUUUCCUUCACUCAUCAUCUGGUGUUUAUCACCCUGGACAACAACCAUGUUAUUUCUUAGCCAUUGGACUUCCACCUUAUCUUUAUUGAGUUCUGCUAAAAAGACAACAUCAGCACCAGGGGCUUCAAGAAUAUCUUGUGGAGGCCUGAUGAUCUCAACAGGAAUUUCUGGAAAGAAAAUGUGAAAUAAAUACAAAUAUGUUUACAUUUUGAUUAACAAUUUUAAAAAAUUGGUAACAUUAGAAUUGUUUUUUCACUUAAUAUGUACCUUCCACAAAAAGUCUAGCACGAGACUUCCUGUCUUCUACCCCGCAAGCAUAUUCACACUCAUCAUCCAGCCUGCAAUCUUUUAUAAUGAGUCUGUGUAUACUUCCAUCUUUUUCAAAUUUGUAUCUAAAGGAGACAUUGGAUUAUCAGUUAGCUUGCAAUGAUGGCCACUAAAUUGUCAAAAGUGUAUAUAUAGCUACAGAAAUAGAGAAUAAAAAGAUCUUGCUUACU